CUCUCGCUUCACCUGGAAGAGAUAUACCAGCGUGGCAACAGAGACAAGGGGGAGGAUUUAAAUUGCAACCUCAACGGCUAGUAUUUAGUUGUUUUAGGAUUUUUUUUUUAUGUACACCCACUAUGUUCAUUAUGUGAAGCUUCUUGGUUCAGGACACAGCCCAGAAAUAUAUUAAUUAAAGCGCACGACAACAGACUUUUUAGCACAUGGGGAAGAAGUGGCUGGAUGAAGUCAUACUCUGUCAACGACGGAUGGACGAAGAUUCACCGCAGGAAAAGAAAGAAAUCAUUCUGAAUGGUCCUCUACAAGUCUUGGUGCUUGUUUUUGAGAGAGCUGCUGCGCGUGGUGACGAUGUUGG